rnacentral:rRNA from 3 species
GAUUUCUGGCCUGACGUGCCUGGCCCGCCAGCGUUAGCUGUGUGAGUGUCGGGACGCGUCUGCCAUCCUUCUAGAAAACGUUCCUACUCUUCAUUGAGCCGGGGACGCUAUCUAGAUCUUUUACUUUGAAAAAAUUAGAGUGUUUAAAGCAGGCUUUUGCUAUGAAUACAUUAGCAUGGAAUAAUAAUCUAGGACUUCGGUUCUAUUUUGUUGGUUUCUAGGACUGAAGUAAUGAUUGAUAGGGAUAGUUGGGGGUGCUAGUAUUCAGCGGCCAGAGGUGAAAUUCUCGGAUUCGCUGAAGACUAACUUAUGCGAAAGCAUU